rnacentral:tRNA from 1 species
CAGGGAAUAGUUUAGUUAGAAUGUCAGCUUUGGGUGUUGGUGGUG